GACGAACGCUGGCGGCGUGCUUAACACAUGCAAGUCGAACGGAAAGGCCCUGCUUUUGUGGGGUGCUCGAGUGGCGAACGGGUGAGUAACACGUGAGUAACCUGCCCUUGACUGUGGGAUAACUUCAGGAAACUGGGGCUAAUACCGGAUAGGAGCUCCUGCUGCAUGGUGGGGGUUGGAAAGUUUCGGCGGUUGGGGAUGGACUCGCGGCUUAUCAGCUUGUUGGUGGGGUAGUGGCUUACCAAGGCUUUGACGGGUAGCCGGCCUGAGAGGGUGACCGGCCCCAUUGGGACUGGGCUGCGGCCCAGACUCCUCCGGGAGGCAGCGGUGGGGAAUAUUGCACUAUGGGCGGAAGCCUGAUGCAGCCACGCCGCGUGCGGGAUGACGGCCUUCGGGUUGUAUACCGCUUUCGCCUGUGACGAAGCGUGAGUGACGGUAAUGGGUAAAGAAGCACCGGCUAACUACGUG
rnacentral:rRNA from 1 species